rfam:Stegodyphus mimosarum contig48375, whole genome shotgun sequence.
GCCUUCGUGGUGUAGUGGUCAGCACGCUCAACGCGUAUUCGAGAAGUCCUUGGUUCGAAUCUGGGCAAGGGCA